rnacentral:rRNA from 1 species
UACGUAGGGGGCAAGCGUUGUCCGGAUUUAUUGGGCGUAAAGAGCGUGUAGGCGGCCAGACAGGUCAGCUGUGAAAACUCGAGGCUCAACCUCGAGACGUCGGUUGAAACCGUCUGGCUAGAGUCCGGGAGAGGAGAGUGGAAUUCCUGGUGUAGCGGUGAAAUGCGCAGAUAUCAGGAAGAACACCCGUGGCGAAAGCGGCUCUCUGGAACGGUACUGACGCUGAGACGCGAAAGCGUGGGGAGCGAACAGG